rnacentral:rRNA from 1 species
UACGAAGGGGGCUAGCGUUGUUCGGAAUUACUGGGCGUAAAGCGUGCGCAGGCGGCUUCUCAAGUCAGGGGUGAAAGCCCAGAGCUCAACUCUGGAAUUGCCUUUGAGACUGAGUGGCUUGAGUACGGGAGAGGUGAGUGGAAUUCCCAGUGUAGAGGUGAAAUUCGUAGAUAUCGAGAGGAACACCGGUGGCGAAGGCGGCGACCUGGUCCUUGACUGACGCUGAGGCGCGAAAGCGUGGGGAGCAAACAGG